rnacentral:tRNA from 1 species
AGUUAAUGAGCUUGAUAUAAGCAUAUGUUUUGAAAGCAUAAGAUAGAAUUCAAUUUUCUAUUAACUU